ensembl:snRNA U6 U6 spliceosomal RNA
GUGCUUGCUUUGGCAGCACAUAUACUAAAACUGGGACAAUAGAGAGAAAAUUUGCAUGGCUCCCAUGCAAGGAUGACAUACAAAUUCAUGAAGCAUUCCAUAUUUCU